rnacentral:rRNA from 1 species
GACGAACGCUGGCGGCGUGCUUAACACAUGCAAGUCGAACGGGCCUGUCUUCUUUUUUGGGGGGUGGGUUGAGUGGCGAACGGGUGAGUAUCACGUGAGUAACCUGCCCUUCGGUCCUGGAUAACCGCUUGAAAGGGCGGCUAAUACGGGGUGGUCCGGUUGGUCCGCAUGGGCUGGUCGGGAUAGAUUCACUGUUUUUGGUGUUUCGGCGGGGGAUGGGCUCGCGGCCUAUCAGCUUGUUGGUGGGGCGAUGGCCUACCAAGGCGGUGACGGGUAGCCGGCCUGAGGGGGUGGGCGGCCACACUGGGACUGAGAUACGGCCCAGACUCCUGCGGGAGGCAGCAGUGGGGGGUAUUGCACAAUGGGCGGAAGCCUGAUGCAGCGACGUCGCGUGAGGGAUGGAGGCCUUCGGGUUGUGAACCUCUGUUUCCGGUGGUGAAGGCCCUGUCCGUGUGGUGGGGUUGACGGUAGCCGGGGAUGAAGCGCCGGCUAACUACGUG